rnacentral:rRNA from 1 species
GCAUAUCAAUAAGCGGAGGAAAAGAAACCAACAGGGAUUGCCUUAGUAGCGGCGAGUGAAGCGGCAAAAGCUCAAAUUUGAAAUCUGGCACCUUCGGUGUCCGAGUUGUAAUUUGAAGAUUGUAACCUUGGGGUUGGCUCUUGUCUAUGUUUCUUGGAACAGGACGUCACAGAGGGUGAGAAUCCCGUGCGAUGAGAUGCCCAAUCCUAUGUAAGGUGCUUUCGAAGAGUCGAGUUGUUUGGGAAUGCAGCUCUAAGUGGGUGGUUAAUUCCAUCUAAAGCUAAAUAUUGGCGAGAGACCGAUAGCGAACAAGUACAGUGAUGGAAAGAUGAAAAGAACUUUGAAAAGAGAGUGAAAAAGUACGUGAAAUUGUUGAAAGGGAAGGGUUUGAGAUCAGACUCGAUAUUUUGUGAGCCUUGCCUUCGUGGCGGGGUGACCCGCAGCUUAUCGGGCCAGCAUCGGUUUGGGCGGUAGGAUAAUGGCGUAGGAAUGUGACUUUGCUUCGGUGAAGUGUUAUAGCCUGCGUUGAUGCUGCCUGCCUAGACCGAGGACUGCGAUUUUAUCAAG